UACGUAGGGCGCAAGCGUUGUCCGGAAUUAUUGGGCCUAAAGCAUCCGUAGCCGGUUCUACAAGUCUUCCGUUAAAUCCACCUGCUUAACAGAUGGGCUGCGGAAGAUACUAUAGAGCUAGGAGGCGGGAGAGGCAAGCGGUACUCGAUGGGUAGGGGUAAAAUCCGUUGAUCCAUUGAAGACCACCAGUGGCGAAGGCGGCUUGCCAGAACGCGCUCGACGGUGAGGGAUGAGAGCUGGGGGAGCAAACCGG
rnacentral:rRNA from 1 species